rnacentral:lncRNA from 1 species
AUGGCAGAACAAAAGGGAGGAAGAGGAAAGCCCAGUUGCCAGGCAGAGAUGGGAAAAGAGAUCUGUGAGCAGAAAUCCUGGCUGGAAACAUCUGUGGAAGGGAAAACACUCAUCAUCUUGGGUCUCCAGUUAAUGUGGCUUAACCUUGAGCCUCAACAUCUUCCAUGGCAGCAGAGCCAAAUGGUGACAUCCUGUGCUGUUCUCUCCAAGGAAAAAUAUGAGCUCCUCGACCCGGAGGUAACUCCGCAGCGCAGAGAUGGAGGGACGACAACCAGAUCCCUUGUGGUCCCACUGGGUCAGCUCACAGUGAAAAACAACAGGUCUGCAAAAUCAGCGUGUAAUUUUGGUGGAAGGAGUUUAACUGUUUGUCCAAGAGGACAUGCAGGGAUUUGGCUGGGACAGACCAACACGGAGGCAAUGGCAAAAGAAUCAAGCACAGAAUGCCAGAUUGGAAGGGACCUCAAGUAUGAAGGGAAGAGACCUCAAGGAUCGUGUUUCCUCAACAAUAAACUCUCCGAACUCCCAAGCAGCGUUUGGCAGCUGAAGUCACGUAGCUGCUGUAGAUCAGCAGAUUCACAGCAAUUGCUUGUGAUGUGA